rnacentral:rRNA from 1 species
GACGAACCGUGCGAACGUUGUUCGGAAUCACUGGGCUUAAAGGGCGCGUAGGCGGCUUGCCAAGUCCGGGGUGAAAUCCUGCAGCUUAACUGUAGAAGGGCCUUGGAUACUGGCGAGCUCGAGGGAGGUAGGGGUGCGUGGAACUUCUGGUGGAGCGGUGAAAUGCGUUGAUAUCAGAAGGAACGCCGGGGGCGAAAGCGACGCACUGGAUCUCUUCUGACGCUGAGGCGCGAAAGCUAGGGGAGCAAAC